rnacentral:rRNA from 1 species
CCCUUAGAUGUUCUGGGCCGCACGCGCGCUACACUGUCGGAUUCAGCGAGUCUUAACCUUAACCGAAAGGUUUGGGUAAUCUUUUGAAAGUCCGACGUGAUGGGGAUUGAUCAUUGCAAUUAUUGAUCAUGAACGAGGAAUUCCUAGUAAAUGCGAGUCAUCAGCUCGCGUUGAUUACGUCCCUGCCCUUUGUACACACCGCCCGUCGCUACUACCGAUUGAAUGGUUUAGUGAGAUCUUCGGAUUGGCACAAUCGCGGCCUAACGGAAGUGAUGGUGCCGAAAAGUUGCUCAAACUUGAUCAUUUAGAGGAAGUAAAAGUCGUAACA